rnacentral:lncRNA from 7 species
GAGAUGAUGUGGGAUGGAUUAUCGGGUUCAUCUACCCGUCGUUGAUAGACGACGAACCGAGAUUAAUUCAAUUGAUUAAUUAAGCGUGGAUUAAUUGCUCAUUCCCAUCCCUGCAUCGUCCCUAUCGCGUUGCGUUGCCUUGCAGUUCUUUGGAUCGGAUCGGGCCCCUGUUCGUUCGUUAGCUUCGCUCCAGCUUAACAAUCAAGCCAUAUAUAUAGCGACUGGUAUUAGCGAAGCAAAGCAAAGCAAUGGUGGAUCCACUGAUCCAAUCCGUCGCGAUUGCUCAUUAUGUUAGUUAGGUAAACCAUGCCUUGUUAAACCUUAAUGAGGUCGCCUGACUUUUUCUUCCCCACACCCCCCGGCCCAUGCCCCAACCCGCAGCAGUUCCGGCCGGUCCGGCGCACACCGUCCGGCCGCACGCACCGGCACAGCAGCAUACGACCGGCCGGCCGCCCGACGGCGACGAGCCAACCGUCUGGCGCGGCUCCGUCCGCGGCGAAAGGGAUCGGGUUCAUACGAGCGAGCGAGCGG